GAUGAACGCUGGCGGCGUGCUUAACACAUGCAAGUCGAACGAAGCACUUUAUUUGAUUUCCUUCGGGACUGAUUAUUUUGUGACUGAGUGGCGGACGGGUGAGUAACGCGUGGGUAACCUGCCUUGUACAGGGGGAUAACAGUUGGAAACGGCUGCUAAUACCGCAUAAGCGCACAGCAUCGCAUGAUGCAGUGUGAAAAACUCCGGUGGUAUAAGAUGGACCCGCGUUGGAUUAGCUAGUUGGUGAGGUAACGGCCCACCAAGGCGACGAUCCAUAGCCGAACUGAGAGGGUGACCGGCCACAUUGGGACUGAGACACGGCCCAAACUCCUACGGGAGGCAGCAGUGGGGAAUAUUGCACAAUGGGCGAAAGACUGAUGCAGCGACGCCGCGUGAGCGAAGAAGUAUUUCGGUAUGUAAAGCUCUAUCAGCAGGGAAGAUAAUGACGGUACCUGACUAAGAAGCACCGGCUAAAUACGUG
rnacentral:rRNA from 1 species